UAAUACGUAUGUCUCGAGCGUUAUCCGGAAUUACUGGGUGUAAAGAGUUCGUAGGCGGCGAAUUAAGUUAGGUAUGAAAGACCGGAGCUCAACUCCGUGUUUGUGCUUAAAACUGGUUUGCUAGAAUUAGGGAGAGGUAAGCGGAAUUCUAAGUGUAGGGGUGCAAUCCGUAGAUACUUAGAGGAACACCAAAAGCGAAGGCAGCUUACUGGAACUAUAUUGACGCUGAGGAACGAAAGCGUGGGGAGCGAAAAGG
rnacentral:rRNA from 1 species